GGCGGCACGCUUAACACAUGCAAGUCGAGCGGCAGCGCGAAUGGUAGCAAUACCAUUUGGCGGCGAGCGGCGGACGGGUGAGUAACACGUAGGAACCUGCCCAAGAGAGGGGGACAACCAAGGGAAACUUUGGCUAAUACCACAUAAACUCUGGCGAGAAAAGUUGCCCUGCAAAGGGUGAUGCUUUUGGAGGGGCCUGCGUCCGAUUAGCUAGUUGGUAGGGUAAAAGCCUACCAAGGCAAAGAUCGGUAACUGGUCUGAGAGGACGACCAGUCACACUGGGACUGAGACACGGCCCAGACUCCUACGGGAGGCAGCAGUGGGGAAUCUUGGACAAUGGGGGCAACCCUGAUCCAGCGAUGCCGCGUGAGUGAAGAAGGCCCUCGGGUCGUAAAGCUCUUUAGGUUGGGAAGAAGUAUAUGGGAGGUAAUGCCUGUAUAUUGACGGUACCGACAGAAUAAGCACCGGCAAACUCUGUGCCAGCAGCCGCGGUAAUACAGAGGGUGCGAGCGUUAAUCGGAAUUACUGGGCGUAAAGGGCGCGUA
rnacentral:rRNA from 1 species